rnacentral:rRNA from 1 species
AACGCACCUUGCGCUCCCCGGUACUCUGGGGAGCAUGCCCGUUUGAGUGUCGUGUGCCUCUUCACCGGAACCGCUGUGACUCGUUCACUUUGGUUCGCAGGUGGCGGUGGGAUCGUUGGCCCCCUCGGGGUCGACCUUCCUCAAAUCGAUCAGCGAUGCCCGGUCCCGAAACCUUUGGUAUACGUGGGUGUUAACUUUUACUGCCUGCGCCAAUCGGUCGAGGGACUCUUGUGGAGUCUUCGCUUUCUAACCGUCCUCCUCGGACAACACACUCUCGCUCUGACCUCAAAUCGGGUAGGGUUACCCGCUGAAUUUAA